GACGAACGCUGGCGGCGUGCCUAAUACAUGCAAGUUGAGCGGUGAAGAUUGGUGCUUGCACCAAUUUGAAGAGCAGCGAACGGGUGAGUAACGCGUGGGGAAUCUGCCUUUGAGCGGGGGACAACAUUUGGAAACGAAUGCUAAUACCGCAUAACAACUUUAAACAUAAGUUUUAAGUUUGAAAGAUGCAAUUGCUUCACUCAAAGAUGAUCCCGCGUUGUAUUAGCUAGUUGGUGAGGUAAAGGCUCACCAAGGCGAUGAUACAUAGCCGACCUGAGAGGGUGAUCGGCCACAUUGGGACUGAGACACGGCCCAAACUCCUACGGGAGGCAGCAGUAGGAAAUCUUCGGCAAUGGACGAAAGUCUGACCGAGCAACGCCGCGUGAGUGAAGAAGGUUUUCGGAUCGUAAAACUCUGUUGGUAGAGAAGAACGUUGGUGAGAGUGGAAAGCUCAUCAAGUGACGGUAACUACCCAGAAAGGGACGGCUAACUACGUG
rnacentral:rRNA from 1 species